CCUACGGGAGGCAGCAGUCAAGAAUCAUUCACAAUGGGGGAAACCCUGAUGGUGCGACGCCGCGUGGGGGAAUGAAGGUCUUCGGAUUGUAAACCCCUGUCAUGUGGGAGCAAAUUAAAAAGAUAGUACCACAAGAGGAAGAGACGGCUAACUCUGUGCCAGCAGCCGCGGUAAUACAGAGGUCUCAAGCGUUGUUCGGAAUCACUGGGCGUAAAGCGUGCGUAGGCUGUUUCGUAAGUCGUGUGUGAAAGGCGCGGGCUCAACCCGCGGACGGCACAUGAUACUGCGAGACUAGAGUAAUGGAGGAGGAACCGGAAUUCUCGGUGUAGCAGUGAAAUGCGGAGAUAUCGGGAGGAACACUCGUGGCGAAGGCGGGUUCCUGGACAUUAACUGACGCUGAGGCACGAAGGCCAGGGGAGCGAAAGGGAUUAGAUACCCCUGGCAGUC
rnacentral:rRNA from 1 species